rnacentral:rRNA from 1 species
GAUGAACGCUGGCGGCGUGCUUAACACAUGCAAGUCGAACGAAGUAUUAAAACGGAAGUUUUCGGAUGGAAGUUUUGCUACUGAGUGGCGGACGGGUGAGUAACACGUGGAUAACCUGCCGUAUACAGGGGGAUAACAGUCAGAAAUGGCUGCUAAUACCGCAUAAGCGCACAGCUUCGCAUGGAGCAGUGUGAAAAACUCUGGUGGUAUACGAUGGAUCCGCGUCCGAUUAGCUAGUUGGUGAGGUAAUGGCUCACCAAGGCGACGAUCGGUAGCCGGCCUGAGAGGGUGAACGGCCACAUUGGGACUGAGACACGGCCCAAACUCCUACGGGAGGCAG